rnacentral:rRNA from 1 species
CGGGUGAGUAACACGUGAGCAACCUGCCGGGAAGCCCGGGAUAGCCCUCCGAAAGGAGGAUUAAUACCGGAUGUGGCCACCCUGCGAUUGCGGGGGAAGCUAAAGGAUUUAUUCACUUCCCGAGGGGCUCGCGGCCCAUCAGCUUGUUGGUGAGGGUAACGGCCCACCAAGGCGACAACGGGUAGCUGGUCUGAGAGGAUGGUCAGCCACACUGGAACUGAGACACGGUCCAGACACCUACGGGUGGCAGCAGUCGAGAAUCAUUCGCAAUGGGGGAAACCCUGACGAUGCGACGCCGCGUGGAGGAUGAAGGCCUUAGGGUUGUAAACUCCUGUCAAGAGGGAAUAAGCAAGUGAAGGUACCUCUAGAGGAAGGGGCGGCUAAUUCCGUGCCAGCAGCCGCGGUAACACGGAAGCCCCGAGCGUUGUUCGGAUUCAUUGGGCGUAAAGGGUGCGUAGGCGGCGCGGAAAGUCCGGCGUGAAAGGCAGGGGCUCAACCUCUGGACUGCGUUGGAUACUUCCGUGCUUGAGGACUGGAGGGGAGACUGGAAUUCACGGUGUAGCAGUGAAAUGCGUAGAUAUCGUGAGGAAGACCGGUGGCGAAGGCGAGUCUCUGGACAGAUCCUGACGCUGAGGCACGAAGGCUGGGGGAGCGAACAGGAUUAGAUACCCUGGUAGUCCCAGCAGUAAACGAUGUGAGCUUGAUGUGGGGGGAUUCGACCCCUUCCGUGUCGAAGCUAACGCGAUAAGCUCACCGCCUGAGGAGUACGGCCGCAAGGCUAAAACUCAAAGAAAUUGACGGGGACCCGCACAAGCGGUGGAGUAUGUGGCUUAAUUCGAUGCAACGCGAAGAACCUUACCUGGCCUUGACAUGCAUUGUGUCGUCGGUGAAAGCCGGCUAGUCCUGGAAACAGGACGCUUUGCACAGGUGCUGCAUGGCUGUCGUCAGCUCGUGUCGUGAGAUGUUGGGUUAAGUCUCGCAACGAGCGCAUCCCUUGUGGUCAGUUAAUGUGCGGCUUAGCUGGAGGAGUCUGCCCAGACUGCCCUGUCAAACGGGGAGGAAGGUG